GGGUCAGUAGGUUGGUCGUGCCACCGGUACGUACUGGUCUCACUGAUCCCUCCUUCCUGAAGAACCGUAAUGCCAUUAAUUUGGUGUUGCGGGGAAACAGGACUGUUACUUUGAAAAAAUUAGAGUGUUUAAAGCAAGCUAACGCUUGAAUACAUCAGCAUGGAAUAAUGAAAUAGGACGAUCGAUCCUAUUUUGUUGGUUUCUAGGAUUGACGUA
rnacentral:rRNA from 1 species